rnacentral:rRNA from 1 species
UACGAAGGGGGCUAGCGUUGUUCGGAAUUACUGGGCGUAAAGCGUGCGUAGGCGGUCCUCCAAGUCCGCUGUGAAAUCCCCGGGCUUAACCUGGGAAUGGCAGUGGAAACUAUGGGACUUGAAUCUGGCAGAGGGGGGUGGAAUGCCACGUGUAGCAGUGAAAUGCGUAGAGAUGUGGCGGAACACCGAUGGCGAAGGCAGCCCCCUGGGCUGAGAUUGACGCUCAGGCACGAAAGCGUGGGGAGCAAACAGG